UUCUGUUAUAUAACUAUUCGCUUGAAGUGAGCACGGACGUGAAAGUGACUUCGGAAGGUAUCAAAAUGGUUCGGCAGUGGUUUGUUCUUGUGAUACUUUUAGGGACUCUUCUUGCAGUUUUAGCCUCGACGAGUAAUGGCAAAACGCGGCCGUUUGAGGCCGACUGGUUCGGUAAUAGUAUAGAGGAACAGGAGUCAUCGAACUCGUUGGAAAGCGGACUACGGGAUAAUAAUCCAGACUUAAACAGAGUAUUACAAAACCUCAUGCGUAAGUUCAGAAGAGUCCAAGCAGUACAAAAAAGAACUGACGCAAUAUGUCGAUCUCGAGGACCAAUGGCGCCAUGGAAGAAACUUUACUGCGGAGACCGGAAAUAGCCAUCCGCCAUGGUAAUCCAAUAUGGCGUCCAAGAGAAAAAAACGAGUGAAUGGAUGUGUUGGCGGUUUGUGUCUAAAGGAUUGUAUUUAUUUUACCCCAAAGUGUUUAAUGCCGCUGCAACAAGACCUGACAACAUUAUUUAUACUUUAUUUUUCGGAUUGGUUUUUCUUGCAAAUGAUCUGAUAGGCAUCCAGGCAUAUUGAUAUCAGUGCUAUUUAUCAUAUCUACUUGAAAAGGAAUUUUGAACGACGCCAAUUCCCACCUUGUGAACCAGACUCCCGAAAUGUAUUGCACGACUGACUUUUCAAUACCUAUUGCUGAGAGUUUUGAUCCGUCGUUAUUACUACGACAUCACCAAGCAAAUGGAGAUUUUCUCACGAAAUGUAUGUGCUAUAUUUCUGUCAAGCAAUUCAUUCUAUAUCAUUGUGCUGCACUUUGCACGGGUUUUACCUAUUGUGGGCCUUGCAAGUUUACGCGUACACAAGAAAAUGACAUUCAAAACAAAUGCCAAACAUAGGUUUUCUACGCCAUGAAGAUGCUCUUUGUAAGAAUUCUCGUUAUCAGUCAGCUGAUCGGCUUCUAAAAUGUUUACGUAAAGAACCAAGUGACAACCUACAGGCAAACAACCGGUCCGGGCAGAUAUUUUAUGCUACGAUAAUGAAUAAGCAGUUCACGGCCUUAUGGCACAUGGUGCUAUACACUUUGCAGGAUUUUACUUAUUUAAGCGCUACACGUUCAACAAAACGACAUUCGAAACAACCGGAAAACCGAGAUGUUCACGCCAUGAAUAUGUAUACUGGUGUUCUCUAAGCAUUUUACCUUUUAUCGUUGCCAUGCACUUGGUCAGACAUUCGGCAAUCCAGAAGUAUAUAUUUAAAUGUUACGGGAGAAAACAUUCUCAAUGUGUUCAAUAAUAACUUCCUUCGAGUUUUUGAGUCACACUAUCGGCCAUCUUUUACCUAGGAGUGACGAAUAUGCGCAUCAUGUCUUCGCGAGAAAACGUUGAGACGACAUCUUAGAUCUUUGCAAUUCAUACGCUGGAACUAUUUACCAGACAAGUACUGAUGUCUGCUUAAUGGAUUUAUCGUUUGUGGAGUACGGUGAUGUUCACUUCGAAAAAACUUUUGAAUACUUGUGCGUUACACACAUGCCUCUGCACUGUACCGUGCAUCCGCAGUGCACAGUGACCUGGAGUAUGGAACCGAUCUUUUCAUUAUAUUGGAUACGAUACAUGAAUUAUUUAACUGCUUAACGUCGAAUUGACUUCCUGCAUAUUAUACACAUAUAAGGCAUUGGGAUGUUGUAUCCAAACGACACAAAAGGGAGGCUACAGACAGGCGGGGUUCAUUAUGGGCCAUACAGUUAAGCUUCACGAAGUCGCUGAUAGGUGCAGCCGGCAAUGUCUAACUUUACUAGUCAUAUUUUUAUCACUAAAGUGAAAGCAUAGCCAGUUCUCUCGCUAUGCAUUCAGUCACCUGGAGACCUCAUAUUGGACCCAUGGGUCAUGUUUAUAGUCUUAAUUUCACCAAGAAGGACAACUCAUUGUAUGGUAUAGUGUCGUAUGUUAGGUACAUUGCAGUAUUUUUAUUUGUCUUAGGGCGACUACAGCAAAUAAGAGAUUUUUCUCUGUUUUAUUCAUAUCAUUUCCUUAUUCAUGCGACAAAAAAACACUAUCUUUCUUCCAAAGAAGCAAUAACACUUUCCAGGCGAUAAAGGGACUGUAUUCAUAAAAUUGCUUCACUUUUUGUGGGCAGAUUUGAAACAAGCUAGAUUUAAUAAUCACUUUCAAUGGAUAUGUGAGGUGUUUGGUCAAAAGGAUUUUUUUAAAGCACUGUAGUAAAAAAUUUUUUUGGAUAACUGCCGCCAUGUCACUAUUUGUUGAUGUUGACAUCAAUUGAAACUAUCUUCCUUCUAACAAUCUGGACUGUCGGUUUAAUUGUAAUGAUUAGUUUCAGUCAACUGACUUCAAAUUGCGUUUUAGUUUAAUUUUGCGUUUAAGUCGUAAUUUAUAUUUUUGUGAGCAACACUCUUUAAAAAUAAUUGUUUUGGGCUUUUCAAAGACCCGCUUGAAGUUUUUCAGCCAAAAUGUAUAUGCACCCCCUACAUGCCCGAGAG